GAUGAACGCUGGCGGCGUGCCUAAUACAUGCAAGUCGAGCGAACAGACGAGGAGCUUGCUCCUCUGACGUUAGCGGCGGAUGGGUGAGUAACACGUGGAUAACCUACCUAUAAGACUGGGAUAACUUCGGGAAACCGGAGCUAAUACCGGAUAAUAUAUUGAACCGCAUGGUUCAAUAGUGAAAGACGGUUUUGCUGUCACUUAUAGAUGGAUCCACGCCGCAUUAGUUAGUUGGUAAGGUAACGGCUUACCAAGGCAACGAUGCGUAGCCGACCUGAGAGGGUGAUCGGCCACACUGGAACUGAGACACGGUCCAGACUCCUACGGGAGGCAGCAGUAGGGAAUCUUCCGCAAUGGGCGAAAGCCUGACGGAGCAACGCCGCGUGAGUGAUGAAGGUCUUCGGAUCGUAAAACUCUGUUAUUAGGGAAGAACAAAUGUGUAAGUAACUAUGCACGUCUUGACGGUACCUAAUCAGAAAGCCACGGCUAACUACGUG
rnacentral:rRNA from 1 species